rnacentral:rRNA from 1 species
CAAUAGCGUAUAUUAAAGUUGUUGCGGUUAAAAAGCUCGUAGUUGGAUUUCUGUUGGGAACGACCGGUCCGCCCAUUGGGUGUGUAUCUGGCUUGUUCUCGGCAUCUUCUUGGUGAACGUUGCUGCACUUGACUGUGUGGAGCGCUACCCAGGACUUUUACUUUGAGGAAAUUAGAGUGUUUCAAGCAGGCAUAUGCCUUGAAUACAUUAGCAUGGAAUAAUAAGAUAGGACCUCGGUUCUAUUUUGUUGGUUUCUAGAGCUGGGGUAAUGAUUAAUAGGGAUAGUUGGGGGCAUUCGUAUUUAACUGUCAGGGGUGAAAUUCUUGGAUUUGUUAAAGACGGACUACUGCGAAAGCAUUUGCCAAGGAUGUUUUCAUUGA